GUACCCGUAGCUCAGCUGGAUAGAGCAACGGACUUCUAAUCCGUAGGUCGGGGGUUCGAAUCCCUCCGGGCACGCCA
rnacentral:tRNA from 1 species